rnacentral:snoRNA from 1 species
CCAACAUGGAUACCCCGGGAGGUCACUCGCCGGGCUCUGUCCAGGUGAUGCAGGCUCUGCCCUGUGACAUACGUCCUAUUCCACAAAGUUGGAGAUGAAGCCCGCCCUAGAGCUUGCACCUAAAUAUUCCUACAGCUUCUCAGAAUCCUAUGGACAGAGGAGACAAACCAUGCAGGAAACAUAU